rnacentral:lncRNA from 11 species
UUUGAAACCAGUGGAUUUACAAACUCAUUCCUUCUCCUCUGCCAUUCUUGUAGGUAUAAACAUUGAUUAAAACCAAGCAAGCAUAAAUACAUGCUCAUUUGUAUUUACCAAACUUUGCAGCCCACGGAGUUGAAGUUGUGAUGGAUAAUAUACACUUUGCUAUCGAUAACCAAGGAAUUGAGUCCUGGGUCUUUCUAUUUCAGCCCCCUCAUGUGCUGCGGAACGAGGUUCUUUCUCUUGGCAAAGGGGAAAGUAGAGCCAUCACCAAACUUUUGCUCGAUAUUCGAGAUGAUGAUAACCCCCAGGAUGUGACAGUGACCAUUUUAGAUCCCCCGCAUCACGGGCGGAUAGCGAAGCUUCCUGCGGAGAUGCCAUCAGUGAUGAGUACUUUCCAACUGAGUGACCUUUCAGAGGGCCUAGUGCAUUACAUCCAUGAUGGAUCCAACAGUUUAGAAGACAUGGUGCUCCUGCAAGCCAGUGAUGGUUACUACUUUCAGAAUAUACUCUUCCACAUCAAGAUUGUUCCAAAGUCCCCUUUGAAGACCAGUGAGGUCCCUCGGUUGGUUGCCAGCCCCAUGGUGUGGGUCCCAGAGGGAGGGAUGCUGCAGAUCACCAACAGGAUUCUGCAAGCUGAGAUGCCUGGAGUCAGCGAUUCUGCAAUUGUCUACACUAUUCAAGAUCAGCCACGCUAUGGUGAAGUGGUUUUUCUGGUCCCCAUGCCUGCAGAUGACCCUGGGUUAGGAUGGCAGCCUUUACCUGAUGGCAGAGCAGCCUCUCCAACUUCUACUUUCACUCAGCAGGACAUCAACCAAGGGGUCAUUUGGUAUAGGCAUUCUGGGUCUGAGACAGAGAGCGACUCCUUCCGCUUCCAGGUAUCGAGCACAUCCUCUCCAGAAGCCCAUCUGGACACCCACCUGCUCAACAUUGCCAUCCUGCCACACUCUCCGGAUUCAUCCCUGCUCUCCCUUGGGUCUUCUUUCCACAUGACUGUAAGUCCAAACAAAGGCAAGAAGUAUGACUGCAUUCCCCAAGGCAUGCACAGAAGCUCAUUAAAAUUAUGCACAUCUCUUUCA